GUUAAUGUGAGGGAGGAGGUCUUGUUCUAAGAAACAUUAAAGUGAGAUAUCAUGGCAAAGCAGAUUUCAGAAGCUCCUCUGGCCUGCAGCCUGGCAUUCCUGACAGUGUUUCCUUUUAAGUAGCCGAUUGGUGGUCAUCUUGUAAGGUACAACCUCGAUAGUUCUGACUGCAAUCUUCCAGUGCAAACAACAAUCUCCGAAGAGCUCUUCAUUGAUUCGUUCCUUGUGCGAGUCUUUUGAACAAAUGAAUCUCAACCCUGCAGUCUUCCCAAUUAUCCACUACUUUCAUUGUCCUAAACUUGUGCAUGUGGUGUAAAGACUUCAAUAUCAUUGUCAUGCUGUUGGAAUCGAUGCUCCUCACCUCUUCUUAGAUGUUGCAACUUCACCAUUCAACAGUUUUUCUCCAUCAGAUCUUCGCCUCACUGGAAAGUAUUUUGAAAGAGAUAUGAAAUCCAGUGGAAACUGUAACCUCUUGGUGGACAAACCAGUGAAUACAAGAGUGGUAAUGUAAUGCAGGAACAAUGCUGGAUGUCUAAUGUGCAUUCUGUUGAUCACAUUGCAGGGAAGGCAUAAUUUCUGUAGAGAGAUUACAUAGGAGAUUUACAAGAAUAUUACUAGCACUUUAAAAUUCAAGUAUGAGAAAAGAUUGAACAGGCUAUGGUUAUUUUCUUAGAAUAGAUGAGGCUGAGGGGAUAGAACCAAAGGAAAUUUUAAAAGUAUCCUACUCCGCCAAUUCUGCCUUCUUGUGAAGUCUUGGUUUCCAUCAUUCACUUACCGACUGGCAUAGCUUCAUUUGCCUAGCUGCUUAAAUUUCAAGGAACAAGAUGUAAUCUUAUGGAAGCAUAUAAGAUUCUGAAUAGGAAUCAGUGGACAGUGUAGAUACUGAUAGAUUGUUUCCACAGAUAAAUGAAUGUUAAACAUAGGGCCACAGUCUCAGGGGAAGUGACCAAUCAUUCAGGACUGAGAAGAAGAGAAAUUAUUUCGAUCAAAGGGUUGUGAAUCUUUCAAAUUCUCCCCCCAGAAGUUUGCAGAUACUCUAUUGUUGAAUGCAUCUAAGGCUGGAAGAGAAAGAUUAUUGGUAACUCAGGGAACUAAGGGGUUGGGGAGAAGCUGGAAAAGUGGAGUUGGAAUUGAAGAACAAUCAUGAUCUUAUGCAAUCUUGAUGGGUCUAUAGACUUAUUCUCUUAA